rnacentral:lncRNA from 10 species
AUGUUGGCCAGGCUGGUCUUGAACUCCUGACCUCAAGUGGUCUACCCGCCUCGGCCUCACAAAGUGCUAGCAUUACAGGUGUGAGCCACCACACCCGGCCGAUCUGAUUCAUUUCUUAGAAAACGUUUAAAACACUUGACUCAGCCAUUUUGUUUUAAGUAAGGAACAUAAAAACAUACUCAAGAAAUGAAACAAAUAUUGCAAAAACCUUAGUGCCAUAUUACAGCCAACAACCUAGAAAAGGGGAAAUAAAGACAGAAGAAAAAGAAAAGAGAAGAAACAAGGAAAUAAGUAGAAGAAAGAGAAGAGGAGGAGGAGGAAAGACCCACAGCCAGGGGAGAAAAACAGAAAACCCCACUAGGGGCAGACCUUAUGCCAGGCACAGUUCUAAGCCUUAGGAGUCGAGAACACAACAGUGAAGGGUUCUGCUCAUGGAAGAUGAAUGGCAGUGAAAGGAGCAAAGAAAAGAAAAACAAGACACAAAUCAGAACAUUUCAGAUCACAAGUGCCUGGAAGAUAAGAAACAGUGGAGAAACCUGGCGGACACCACGCUGACCGAGAGAUGAAGGUUAAUAUCACUAGCACCGAAGGGAUACCACACACCUCCUGAUGGGGUUCCCGCUGCCGUGCACGGCCUGAAUUUAAUCAGGAGAAAGCAAGGGGCAAACUCAAAUUCAGGGAAAUUCCACAGAAUAACUGGCUUGGACUCUUCAAACAUGUCAAAGGUCGUGAGAGACAAAGACGCAAGAACGGUUUCAGAUGAAAGGAGACCAAAGCAACAAUGGUGAGAGCCACACACGAUCCUGGAUUGGAUCCGGGUUUCUAUUGCUAAGAGGACAUCAGGGGACAACGAUACAAUUUAAAUAAGGUCUGCAGGUUUGAAAGAGGAUUGCGUUGAUAUCAAUUUCCUGAUCUUGAUCAGUGGACUGUGGUUAUGUUAGAGAACAGCCUCAUUCUUAGGGAAAAACACUGAGGAACUCAAGGGUCCACGAGCACCACAUCUGCAAUUUACACCCACUCACAUGGUUCAGGGAAAAACGGGAACAAUGAAGCAAAUGCUAGUAUUGGGGGAACUGGGGUCAGGGGUACGAGAAUUCUUUGUCUUACUCUUGCAACUUUACUGAAAGUCUGAAAUCAUUUCAAAUUGACAAGUGAAAAGAACCAUACCCACCGCUAAUGCCGCUGGAGGAGAUAACCUUAGGGAGUGCAUGCCCCAGCACCUGCUGCUCAAGAGGUGCCGGGAGCACCAGCGAGGAGCUCAGGUGUGGAGACACCCUGCUCAGAGCAGGAUGAACGUCAGACGUUAUCACCCUGCUAUCUCCCACAUGCAGAUCUACAAUCCUCUAAGCCCUGCUCCAGGCGAGUUAUCGGAUGCUGCCCACUAGGAGGACAGGUCUUUCCCAGCUGGGAGCAGGCGGCACUGGCAUCAGAGAGCAGGUGUGGGGUGUAAAUCUCACCCUCCUCCUGGGCACCAAAUGUCUACUCUGCUGAGCGCUGGGAAAGGCCAUGUCAAAAGAGCUCAAGUUACCACAUAGGGCAAAGUCAGGAAGAGGCGAGGGGAGCCUUCGGGACAAGCACAGCAACAAGACAGCAAACACAAGUGGCUCUUGAACCCACGAGAAAGCAAGAGAUUCAAAAUACAACCAUGAGGUGCCACUCCUGCCUGGGAGCUUUGUAAAUGCAGUGCUGAGCGCCAGGAAGGCCUUCAGGAGGCGGCCCGCAGGCACUGCUGAGCAUCACGGCAGCUUCUCCGGGAAGCUGUUUGCAAAACUUAUCAAGAGCCUUUAAGGUAUUUAUGCCCGGCCAGGCGCGGUGGCUCACGCCUGUAAUCCCAGCACUUUGGGACGCUGAGACAGGCGGAUCAUUUGAGGUCACGAAUUCAAAACCACCCUGGCCAACAUGGUGAAUCCCCGUCUCUACUAAAAGUACAAAAAUUAGCCCAGCAUGAUAGUGGGCGCCUAUAGUCCCAGCUACUCGGGAGGCUGAGGCAGGAGAGUUGCUUGAGCCUGUGAGGCGGAAGUUGCAGUGAGCCGAGAUCGCGCCAUUGCAUUCCAGCCUGGGUGAUAGAGCGAGACUCCAUCUCAAAAACAAAACAAAACAAAAAAAGCCGGGCACAGUGGCUGACGCCUGUAAUCCCAACACUUUGGGAGGCCAGGGCGGGUGCAUCACGAGGUCAGGAGAUGGAGACCAUCCUGGCUAACACGGUGAAACCCCAUCUCUACUAAAAAAUACAAAAAAAUUAGCUAGGCAUGGUGGCGGGUUAUGCCCCUGAGCCCAGUCAUUACUAUUCCAGAAAUCCAACCCCAGGAAAUAUUCCAAAAUGGGAACCAAGAUGUACGCAGAAAGAUGUUCAAAGCAGCAUUAUUUACAACAGAAAAUCAUGAGAAGCAAUUUAAAGAUUCCACACCCUGGCUCCCACAGACAUUAUGUAACCAUUAACAAUAAUGUGUUUGCACAGGUUUUGAUGACAUGGGAAAUGCUUGUGAUGUAAUGUGAAGCCAAGAAAAUUUAAUGGUAAACAACAUGAUCUCAUGAAGUUUUUUUAAAGGAAUGGCAACAACUGUAGGACUGCUUGCAUGCCACCCUCCUCACUCCCACGUGCUAUGGAAUUGCUGUAGAGUUGUGUUUUCCUCCUUCUUUAUGCUUUUCUAUAUUUCCAUAUGGAAAAUUUCCAUAUUUUCUCCAUUGGGGAUGCGUUAUUUAUAAUUAGAAAAAAAAGAAGAAAUAUACAGAAGGGACAGGAAGAGCUCCGCAGGAAAAGGCGAAGGGAGCUCCUGCUACACCGACUCCUUGGGUGGGAGGACUUGGCUAUGUGUCUC